CCUCAGCACCUCUGCCUCUUUGUUGGGAGCUGCAAGCCACAGAGACCAGCUCCAUUUUCAACUUCCCACAAGUAGCUCUGAAUUUCUUUUUAAAAGAGAUUGGAUUGGAUUGACUUUCACAUCCCGAGAAGGAGGUGGCUUUCAGACUCCUGAAGAGAGGAGUGAGUGGUCAGGGACCACCUAACCCAAGCUCUCCACCAGACAAGAGGAGCCCAGGGCCAAGAAGCAGGGUGGGGCAGUGCGUGAAGCCUUGGACUGCCAGUCCAGCCUGGCUGCAUGACCUCAGGUUAGGAUCCGUCUCCUUUUCUUCUCUGACCUCCAGCCUUCCCAGCAAAGGCGAGAGAACUGGACCAACUGCUCGCGGGCUCUAGCGCAAGUCCAGGCUGGGCUUCAGUCCCUGUCUCGCUGCUUACUAGCUCGGGGAUAUUGCUUUUCAUGUUGUAAACCUCAGUUUUCCACCUGGAAGCCUCCGUUUUCUCACUUGUGCUGGCCUCGUGGGGUUACUG
rnacentral:lncRNA from 1 species